rnacentral:misc_RNA from 1 species
GAUGAAGAACGUAGCGAAAUGCGAUACGUAAUGUGAAUUGCAAAUUCAGUGAAUCAUCGAGUCUUUGAACGCACAUUGCGCCCCCUGGUAUUCCGGGGGGCAUGCCUGUCCGAGCGUCAUUGCUGCCCUCAAGCACGGCUUGUGUGUUGGGCCCCGUCCUCCGAUCCCGGGGGACGGGCCCGAAAGGCAGCGGCGGUACCGCGUCCGGUCCUCGAGCGUAUGGGGCUUUGUCACCCGCUCUGUAGGCCCGGCCGGCGCUUGCCGAUCAACCCAAAUUUUUUAUCCAGGUUGACCUCGGAUCAGGUAGGGAUACCCGCUGAACUUAAGCAUAUCAAUAAGCGGAGGA